rnacentral:rRNA from 1 species
AUGCUUCCAGGUUCACCUACCCUCGCUCUCAAAGCGGCCACCAUUGCCGCCAUGCUUGCCAUGGUGAUCCUUCCGACCAUGGGGCGCUCCCCGUCGCUGGGCCAAGAAGAACUACUAACGACCCCGGCACCAGCAUCGGGUCCGGCGCAGGCGAUGCGGUGCAGCGAGUGUGGCCCACACUGCACAGAGAUGUGCAGAGUCUCUGUUCCCCCGAAGUGCCGCAAGUACUGCAACGUCCCCAGCUGCGAGGAGUGCCGGUCUUCCCCGAUCGGCAAGUGCAGGGCCGGUCGCACCACUGGUAGCUGCAACUGCGACGGCGAAGCGACCCGGUCAUGCUAUGGCUCUUGCUUUGGCAGUUCUUCGUGUGCGGAGGCUAACUAG